UGGAUCUACAAAAUGAAGACCUCCAUCCUCUCUUCCCAGGGCUUAUUAAAGUUUUUUGAGAAGAUGAAGAGGAUCAUUUAUUGCCAAAAUACAUGGACUUGUUUGGAGUGAAGUGCUGAGGAUACUGAGGCCCGGAGGGUGAGCAAAGAGCAGGACUAAGAGUGACACUCCAGUCUUCUUGACUCUAAAGUCAGAUUUUCCCCCAUGACUUCAUGAUGCUCUCCAAGGCACUGAAGACGUCCCUUGAGGGGGAAAAUGACAUCAAUCAUCCCAAGUGGAAAUAAGUCAGCUAAUGGACAGGAGAACCUGAUCUGGAAACUAAGGGCUAAUAUUGGAGUCCAAGUUUUGACUGAAAGUCAGAUAUGUUUUCACCUUGGACAGCAACUAAGAAUUUGCUCCAGAACAAACAGAAAAUGGAGUUAGUUGCUCAGAGAGCACUGACUGGAAGGAGUGAGAGAGCGAGUCAGGGCACAGGUGAGAGAGAAAGGUGAGUCAUAGGAGGAGAGGAGUCCUCCCUCCUGCAGGAUGUAUCAAAUGCUCCUAACUAGUAAGACAAUUUUAGAACAAUGCCCA
rnacentral:lncRNA from 1 species